rnacentral:rRNA from 1 species
CGUAGGGUGCAGGCGUUAACCGGAAUUACUGGGCGUAAAGCGUGCGCAGGCGGUCUUUAAGUCAGAUGUGAAAUCCCCGGGCUUAACCUGGGAACUGCGUUUGAAACUGGAAGGCUAGAGUGUGGCAGAGGGGGGUGGAAUUCCACGUGUAGCAAUGAAAUGCGUAGAUAUGUGGAGGAACACCGAUGGCGAAGGCAGCCCCCUGGGCUAACACUGACGCUCAUGCACGAAAGCGUGGGGAGCAAACAGGAUUAGAUACCCUGGUAGUCCACGCCCUAAACUAUGUCAACUGGUUGUCGGGGAAGCAAUUCCUUGGUAACGAAGCUAACGCGUGAAGUUGACCGCCUGGGGAGUACGGCCGCAAGGUUA